GGAGAGGUGCUCGAGUGGUUGAAGAGGCACGCCUGGAAAGCGUGUAUACCCCAAAAGGGUAUCCGGGGUUCGAAUCCCUGUCUCUCCGCAA
rnacentral:tRNA from 7 species